UUUUUUUUUAAUUCAUUGUACUGUGCAUGCCUUCCAAUUUAAUCACUUCUUCGCCUCUGUUAUUUUUGUUUUGGUUCCCCUAAUAAGUAAACUAAACUAAGUAAGUUUCUUAUUCGUCUAAUUGCAUUGCAGGUGUUUUGAUAUCGAAUUUAUGAUGAUCCGAUCAUCAUCAUCAUCGCUCCAGAUUGUUUGAUUUCUCAUAUGAAUUUUCACUUUGUUUUGUUUGAUUUUUAGGUUUAUGGAGGAUAUUAAAACGCUCUGAUCGGUGAUUUACUUUGAUUGGUCGUUUGUCAAGCGUUCGGUCUUCUCGUUUUUUUUUUGUUGUUGUUGGCAGAUUGCACAGUGGGGUUCGCUCUUUUGUUGAAUCUUUCUCUUCAUCAUCUGUUUUGGUGUUCUGAUCUAUGUAACCAGGGGUAACAGCAAUUCAGAUAGGCUUCAGAUGCAAAGCUCUACCGACCUGACUGUGGAGGAUGCUUUGCUCGGUGGGUGAUGGUUCUGAUGGAUCCCUGUCUUCUCUGCGCUACCUCUUAAGAUGACGUUCUUGCUGAGAGAUCAAAGAUCCACAGAUUAUCCCCUACACGGGUUUGCCUUGAAGGUCUUAGACCAGGUCUCCCUAAGCCAAAGAUCACGAGGAACGAAGCUUUCUGUCUGGGAGUGCGUUGGAUUUCUGAGUUCAACUUUCAGAUGUCGUGCUGUCAUGUCUCAGUUUAUCUUGAAGGAUUCCUUUGCUCUGUCGUUACUCCCUGUUGCCUCUUUGACAGUCUCCCUUUGUUAUAUCCCAGGCAGCAUCAAGAACUCUUUGACAGGCUUUGAUGGAAACACUUCUUCUAUGACUAUGGGCUACGUCUUCAAGGGGUGUUUUGGAACCCAAUUAUGAUAUGAUUAUGGCGUAAUCUUCUCCAGGCUCCUAUGUCUUCAGGCACGUUCUCACAGAUUGGAGGAUGCCACGAUUGAUCGGUGAUGGAUUUGGCUGAUCGUUGUCACUUUAAUUUAUGUUGAUUUUUCUUCUAGGGUUUGGUUUCUAAAAAUUGAAUCGUUCAAGGCCUUUUUUGAUAUUAUGUUCAUGCGAUUUUUAACUCUUCUUCGCUCUGUUAUGUAUUUAAGAUUGUGGAGGAGGAUGCUUUGAUCGGUUGGUGAUGGUCUUGAAUUUUGAUAGAUCAUUUUUGUCUUCUCUGCGCUACAUCUUCAGGUAAUUUCUUGGACCUUGUUGCUGUUGUUUUUGUUGUGACCAUGGCGUUUCUCACUACAACUAAUCUCAUCUUCAACUCCGACCAAGAAGCAAAUCCGAGAUGGUUUUGAAGAAUUGGAAAGUCUCAUAACAUACCUCAACAAAGAUAUGGUGCAAGCCAAUGUCGUUUUGCAAGUGUGGAUCGGAGGACCUUGCUCUGUCCAUGAUAGAAAGUUAGAAACUAUCCUCUCUCUCUCGGAACAACCUGUUUAUGGAGGAUAUAUUACGCUCUGAUCAGUGAUUUACUUUGAUUGGUCGUUGUCAAGCGUUCGUCUUCUCCUUUUUUUUUUUUUGAUGGCAGAUUGCACAGUGGGGUUUGCUCUGUUGUUGAAUCUUUCUCUUCAUCAUCUGUUUUGAUUUUGAAGGAUGCUUUGCUCGGUGGAUCCUUGUCUUCUCUGCGCUACCUCUUCAGGCAGUUUUCUUCCUCUUAACCAAUAUGUCUUUUCUUUCUUUCUUUCUAUAUAAGUCAAAUUACAUAUAUCUGUUUCUUUGAUGCAGACCAUCGAGAUUAAUGUGUGUGAGGAUUUGAAGAGAAGAAAAACUAAACAUUGUGAAAGUGAAUGUUUUUGGAGGAUGCUUUGCUCGGUGGAUCCUUGUCUUCUCUGCGCUAACUCUUCAGGCAGUUUUCUUCCUCUUAACCAAUGUCUUUUCUUUCUUUCUUUCUAUAUAAGUCAAAUUACAUAUAACUGUUUCUUUGAUGCAGACCAUCGAGAUUAAUGUGUGUGAGGAUUUGAAGAGAAGAAAUAAAAAAACAUUGUGAAAGUGAAUGGUUUGCGUAUGAAGCUAGAACCAUACAAGGAGAUUGUGUCUCCUGCUUUGUUUGGCAUUAUAACUCAGGAUGCAAGCAUGCAAGGUUAUUGGUGGGAUGAGAGGUAUGACUGGAUUGCUUUGGAAAACCUCAUUGCUUGAUCCAUAUGAGGGGCAGUAAUCUUUCUCAGCAAUUCAGAUGGCCUUCAGAUGCAGAGCUCUACCGAUUGACCUGAUUCCAGGACGUGAAUCUAUUGCAGCCAAGCUUGUGUGGCAAAUUUGACAUAGCAGGUCUCUGUCUGAUUUUGCAAACCAAUUCUUUUUUAAGCUUGCUUAUGGACCGACGUGGUUCUAUAUGGGGAAGAGCACACUCUUAAAUCAUUACAACAUGAUGACAAAGUAACACGAACAUGCGACAGAUUGUGGAGGAUGCUUUGCUCGGAGGUUAAUUGUUCUGACGAUGGAUCGUUGUUUUCUCUGCACUACAUCUUCAGACCAUCGAGAUUAAUGUGUGUGAGGGUUUGAAGAGAAGAAAAAACAUUGUGGAAGUGAAUGUUUUGUGUAUGAAGCUAGAACCAUAUAAGGAGAUUGCGUCUGCUGCUCAGGGUGCAAGCAAGGUUAUUGGUGGGAAGAGAGUUAGGAAACCUCAUUGCUUGAUCCAUAUGAGGGGUAUACACUUUGAGGGGUUUGUCUCGUGUUUGAUGGUAAUCGAUUGGUGUUCUGAUCUAUGUAAUCCAUCACUGUUGAUAAGGUACUUGGUGGAAUGGGAGGGAUGACUGGAUUACGCUAGGAAACCUUAUUGCUUGUUCUUGCUGUCUACACACAUUCAGAUGAGAGAUCGAUGAUCCACAGAUUCUUUCCUACACGAAUCGUGGAGGCAUGGAGGGGGAGUGAUUUGAAAAAUUUCGUACUUUAAUUUGAAGCAUUAUAAUGGCGACUAGAGAGCAAACAAGUCAGAGAGAGAGAGAGGUGGGCGUUGAUUGAUUUAUUUGACUCUCUCGUUGAUGAUUUUUUACUGAAGAAUGAACUAGAUUCAGAACACAAUCGUCGCUAACGUGCUUGCUUAUAAAGAGAUCAUCAUCAUUCAAGCAAGCUAGAGACCAUAUGUGUACAACUAAUUCCAUUGGAUGACACCAUUCCAAUCAUGAGCCAACAACAACAAGAAGAAGUACACCUCCACUCCAGGGACCCUGAGAGACGAAUUUUGAAUUGAUAAUGGUUCUGUUUGUUCCUGUUUUCCUAGUUUUACCCACCACAUUGCUAUAGGUAAUAGGCUGAAAUCAUUGUUCGUGGUUAUGCUGGUUGGAAUUCUAGGUAUGCCUUGAAGGUCUUAGACCAAGUCUUCCCAAAGACAAAGUCUUCCCGAAAGUACACUCUCUCUUUUUAUUGACACUCUCUCUUCCCAAUGUCCAAGAAGAGCACCUCCAGGUUCCGGGCCAGCCAAGACUGCAGCCAAGCAAUAUAUGUCCAAGGAUUGUUAGCCUUCAAUCGGGCUCUUACUUUAAGCUAACUAAAAAUCAGAUCUUUGAUUAUUGGUUGGGGUUUUAGAAAGAGCAAAGAGCAAGUUGAAGUGCUGUCAAAAGAGUUGGCUCAUCGUCCGGCUGUGCUAGGAUGUACAGGUAUGGUAGCAUCAUUCCAAUAGAUGAUUCUUUGGGUUAUGCUGCAAAUUUUUCACACAUGCUGGGAUAUAAUAGUCCUCAGAUGAAAGAACUCAUGAGGCUUAUGUCAACAACCACAGGUGCCAAGCAAAGAGCAAGUUGAGUUGCUGUCAAAAGAGUUGUCUCAUCAUGCGGCUGUGCCAGUCUAAUGACUGAAUUUGCUAGUGGUGUUAUGACCCUUCAAGUGGAUGUCUCCCAGAGUAUCUAUCUAUGGUCCAAAUACUCGGCAAGUUCUGAGCCAGCCAAGCAAUGUCCCCUAUCUUGAAAUAUAUUUGCCACGAUCCAAGAAAUUGCUGGUAAGAAGAUCAAUUGUUGGUAC